AACGAACGCUGGCGGCAUGCCUAACACAUGCAAGUCGAACGAACCCUUCGGGGUUAGUGGCGCACGGGUGCGUAACGCGUGGGAAUCUGCCCUUUGCUUCGGAAUAACUCAGGGAAACUUGUGCUAAUACCGGAUGAUGUCUUCGGACCAAAGAUUUAUCGGCACGGGAUGAGCCCGCGUAGGAUUAGGUAGUUGGUGGGGUAAAGGCCUACCAAGCCGACGAUCCUUAGCUGGUCUGAGAGGAUGAUCAGCCACACUGGGACUGAGACACGGCCCAGACUCCUACGGGAGGCAGCAGUGGGGAAUAUUGGACAAUGGGCGCAAGCCUGAUCCAGCAAGGCCGCGUGAGUGAUGAAGGCCCUCGGGUCGUAAAGCUCUUUUACCAGGGAUGAUAAUGACAGUACCUGGAGAAUAAGCUCCGGCUAACUCCGUG
rnacentral:rRNA from 1 species